rnacentral:rRNA from 1 species
CUAGCGACCUCCACUCCCCUGACCAUCUAGCGACCUCCACUACAUGCAAGUAGAACGCUGAAGGAGGAGCUUGCUCUUCUGGAUGAGUUGCGAACGGGUGAGUAACGCGUAGGUAACCUGCCUGGUAGCGGGGGAUAACUAUUGGAAACGAUAGCUAAUACCGCAUAAUAGUAGAUGUUGCAUGACAUUUGCUUAAAAGGUGCAAUUGCAUCACUACCAGAUGGACCUGCGUUGUAUUAGCUAGUUGGUGGGGUAACGGCUCACCAAGGCGACGAUACAUAGCCGACCUGAGAGGGUGAUCGGCCACACUGGGACUGAGACACGGCCCAGACUCCUACGGGAGGCAGCAGUAGGGAAUCUUCGGCAAUGGACGGAAGUCUGACCGAGCAACGCCGCGUGAGUGAAGAAGGUUUUCGGAUCGUAAAGCUCUGUUGUAAGAGAAGAACGAGUGUGAGAGUGGAAAGUUCACACUGUGACGGUAUCUUACCAGAAAGGGACGGCUAACUACGUGCCAGCAGCCGCGGUAAUACGUAGGUCCCGAGCGUUGUCCGGAUUUAUUGGGCGUAAAGCGAGCGCAGGCGGUUAGAUAAGUCUGAAGUUAAAGGCUGUGGCUUAACCAUAGUACGCUUUGGAAACUGUUUAACUUGAGUGCAAGAGGGGAGAGUGGAAUUCCAUGUGUAGCGGUGAAAUGCGUAGAUAUAUGGAGGAACACCGGUGGCGAAAGCGGCUCUCUGGCUUGUAACUGACGCUGAGGCUCGAAAGCGUGGGGAGCAAACAGGAUUAGAUACCCUGGUAGUCCACGCCGUAAACGAUGUCNACUAGCCGUUGGGNUCCUUGAGANNUUAGUGGCGCAGNUAACGCNNUAAGUNGACCGCCUGGGGAGUACGGCCGCAAGGUUAAAACUCAAAUGAAUUGACGGGGGCCCGCACAAGCGGUGGAGCAUGUGGUUUAAUUCGAUGCAACGCGANGAACCUUACCUGGUCUUGACAUCCACAGAAUCUUGCAGAGAUGCGAGAGUGCCUUCGGGAACUGUGCGACCUCCACUGCAUGGCUGUCGUCAGCUCGUGUUGUGAAAUGUUGGGUUAAGUCCCGCAACGAGCGCAACCCUUAUCCUUUGUUGCCAGCGGUUUGGCCGGGAACUCAAAGGAGACUGCCGUUGAUAAAGCGGAGGAAGGUGGGGACGACGUCAAGUCAUCAUGGCCCUUACGACCAGGGCUACACACGUGCUACAAUGGCGUAUACAAAGGGAGGCGACCUCGCGAGAGCAAGCGGACCUCAUAAAGUACGUCUAAGUCCGGAUUGGAGUCUGCAACUCGACUCCAUGAAGUCGGAAUCGCUAGUAAUCGUGAAUCAGAAUGUCACGGUGAAUACGUUCCCGGGCCUUGUACACACCGCCCGUCACACCAUGGGAGUGGGUUGCACCAGAAGUAGAUAGCUUAACCACGAGGUGGUGGAGG